AUUACAAUCUCUUUGUUUAAUUGAAUGAGAAAGUUAACAUUUCUAUAAAACUAAGAAAUAGAAUGUAUUUUAUGGAGUUUGUGUUUCAUGUUCAGCUAGUCUUGGGUCCCAACAAUAUGCAAACAGCAGUUUUACUAAUGUGAAAAAUAAAUAAUUGAAUACAUUUUACAAGUAUAUUAUCUGCCCUCUGCCCCACUAAAAGUGAUGCAAAUUAUAGUUUCCCAAGUGCCGCAGUGGGCAGCUGGAAAUAGUCUCUGUCCAAUUAUACAAUGAGUUCUUUUGAGUUCGGGAAGAGGGUGAGGGAGACUGAAAUCACAGUGCAUCAGGCCUGAAUGUCUUUGUAUAUGUGUGUAUGUUGGGAAGCUAAUAAAGUGGUAGGUCAGUCCCUAAUUCAGUUUGGCUUUUUUUAAUGCUACACUCUAGUGCCUGAAAACUUCUACUCUUAAGGAGCAAGGACUGUGUACCUUACUAAGUGCCUAAGGCCAAAGUGUCAUUUUGCAUAUGAGGGAGUGCUGAGUUUGCUGUCAGCCAAGCCUUCUGCCUCCCAGGAGCCCCUGCUAGAGUUAAUUCACGUCCAGCAGUUGGGGAAAUCUUCAGAAUGUUAAAGACUGUCAGCUGCAACUUGGAGAGUACCAAAUAUGCCUGCCAGAUUUGUGAGAAUGUGGCCGAGCCAACGAGAUAGAAGGUGCAGAUCUUAAAUCUACUGGAGUUGGACACGUCAGAAAUGGAUAAUAAGUACUACAGAUCCUCACACAAGUACUCGAGGGGCACAGGCUCCGGACGACGCGCAGGUUCAGCGGCCAUGGCUCACGGGCCCAGCCGCUCCGCGGCAUGUGGGAUCUUCCCGGACAGGGGCACGAACCCGUGUCCCCUGCAUCGGCAGGCGGACUCCUAACCACUGCGCCACCAGGGAAGCCCUGUUGGGUCUGUUUUAAUGAGUAGAUAAGACCUGUUUACGUUUAGUAACAUCCAUGUGCCUAUAGACGUUAAUGUGCCUAAAUGAGUUACAUUUGAAUAUUAAGGAUUGAGUUUUACAGCUAGAAGAGAAUUUGAAGAUUUUCUAGUCAAAGCCCCUCAUUUUCCAGGUAAGAAACAGAAUCAUAGAUCCUGGGUAAUUGUCCAAGUAAACUCAAUUAGGAUAGGAGCUCAGACCAAAACCUCUGCUUCCUGGGGUUGAUGAUGACUAGCACAGGACUCAGCGAUAGAGUACAGUCCAGCGAAGUCAGGUCUUUAAAGAUGCAGAGCCUGUCAUGGGCCCACACUGGGCGAGGUGCUGGAGUUGGAAAGACGAACAGGGAGCUAGCUCCCUGUCUAAUGAUACAGCCUGGUAUGUAAACAGCCAUAGUGCCAUGGGAUAAAGAAGUACUGCAAAUAAGACAAAGGUUACGUGAAUAAAGAAGUCUAUUCUACCCUUCCCAUAAACCUCAUGCCACGAGGUAUCUUAUUUAUUAUAUUAUCUUGCUUAGCAAACCUUUUUAUUUUUUCUAUAUAGUAUAUGAAUGUGUAAGCUUUGGCCCUACCUAAGUUAUAUUAUCAUAAAUUAUGAUUAGAGGAAUCAAAAUCAAAUGAGGGACUUCCCUGGAGGUCCAGUGGUUAAGACUCUGCACUUCCACUGUGGGGGGCACAGGUUCGAUCCUGGUCAGGGAACUAAGAUCUGAUGUGCCAUGCGGCGUGGCCAGAAAAAAAAAAAGAAAUGUUGGUUUAAAAAAAAAUCAAAUGAAAUUUUACUGUAUUGAGUGUUUUCUGCAGAGGGUGCUGUGAUAUCCAAUUUUUACUCUAUAGUUUUUUAAUUGUAUUUUCUUGAAUAUAUUUGAAAAAAUACUAUUAAGAAGAUUGAAGUUUUCCCCAAAGCCUGCCACAGGCUGUUAUAAUCUUAGUGUGUAAGAUGGAAGCCCUCUUUUCACUAUUUCUUUUUUCAUCUAUGUUUAAAAUUAUAGAAGUAAUAUGUAUUCAUUGUUAACAAAAAUCAAAUAAUAUAAAGAAGUGUAUAAAAGGUGAGCAUUCUCCUUUACACAUACACACCAAUCUUCUUCUUUCCCAAGAGCUAAUCAAUAUCAGCUUGGUCUAUAUCCUUCCAUAUAUUUGCAUGUGUGUGUAUAUACACAUUUAUACACCCACACACAUAUAUAAAUAUGUAAAUGUACAUACAUAGCUAUUAACUUAAAACUAGAGUCAAAUU